AAUAAACUAAAAUUUAAAAGAUAUCAAAUUUGUUAAUAUAAUUAUUGGGAUUUCAUCUCAUUGGAUUAAUUUUCUAUUUUAUAAAUGGUAAUUCGUUAGGAAAGUCCAAAGCAAAAUAAAAUUUAAAUAGGUGUACAAGAGAAAUUUAGCUCAUCAUGCGGUACACAAUCACAUGAUAACUCCACAAAAAGCAUGAAAUGCACAUAAAACUGAGCAAGACCAUGAGAACCAAGUAUAUACCCAGUAGGAUAUGGGCUAAACAAAGCAUGCCAAGAUAUUCAACUAUUUUAUAAAAUUGUAAAGUCAACAUUAUUGACAUGAAAUCAUUGUACGAUCCUUGCUUCAAAAUGAGUAAAUAACAUGAACUUACCAUUAAAAGAGAUUAAUAAAACUUAGAAAAUAAUGAUAAAAACGUUACCAAUAUCCCAGUCUCCUUGAGUAGGGGAAUCUCAC
rnacentral:lncRNA from 1 species